rnacentral:rRNA from 1 species
UACGGGGGGUGCGAGCGUUGUCCGGAAUCACUGGGCGUAAAGGGCGCGUAGGUGGUUUGAUAAGGGUGUGGUGAAAGUCCGGAGCUCAACUCCGGAUCUGCCGUGCCGACUGUCAAACUCGAGGGCUGUAGAGGCAGACGGAAUUCCGGGUGUAGCGGUGGAAUGCGUAGAGAUCCGGAGGAAGACCGGUGGCGAAGGCGGUCUGCUGGGCAGUUUCUGACACUGAGGCGCAACAGCGUGGGGAGCAAACAGG